AUUGAACGCUGGCGGCAGGCCUAACACAUGCAAGUCGAGCGGAUGAAGGGAGCUUGCUCCUGGAUUCAGCGGCGGACGGGUGAGUAAUGCCUAGGAAACUGCCUGGUAGUGGGGGAUAACGUCCGGGAACGGGCGCUAAUACCGCAUACGUCCUGAGGGAGAAAGUGGGGGAUCUUCGGACCUCACGCUAUCAGAUGAGCCUCGGUCGGAUUAGCUAGUUGGUGGGGUAAAGGCCUACCAAGGCGACGAUCCGUAACUGGUCUGAGAGGAUGAUCAGUCACACUGGAGCUGAGACACGGUCCAGACUCCUACGGGAGGCAGCAGUGGGGAAUAUUAGACAAUGGGCGAAAGCCUGAUCCAACGAUGCCGCGUGUGAGAAGAAGGUCUUCGGAUUGUAAAGCACUUUAAGUUGGGAGGAAGGGCAGUAAGUUAAUACCUUGCUGUUUUGACGUUACCAACAGAAUAAGCACCGGCUAACUUCGUG
rnacentral:rRNA from 1 species